GAGAACAUGCACAAGAGCACUGAAAAGAGCAGCGCAACCUGUAUAUUAACAGGCUAUAUUUUAGGCAUUAACGAAACAUCAAGCGGAUUCGAGAAUAGAAAGUGAUUUUAGUCUCAAAAAGGCUUCAUCUCCAUGGCUACCACUUUUCCACUUGACAUGAUGUCAGAAGAAUUGAUUAUGAAAGAUCCAGAGACAAAAAACGUGGAUGAUGUACAACUUGAUAAGGGGCGCAAGGAUCAACAUCUUAUAAGUACCACCACUGGUGGCAUGGAGAACUCUUGUCACAGCUGCAUGCUGGGUUUAGGAAUAAUGACAUUUUUGAUUGGUAUAUCAACUACAAGUCUGGCUUAUGCAACAAACUCUCUUGAUUCAGUUAUUUUUGUACUAGGAAUCUCCGUUUUGACAACAGGAAUUGUCUCCGUUAUAUUCAGCUGUCUUUGGAAAAGAUAUCGAAGAAAGAAGAAGGCAAAGCGAAACGAUGACCAAGCAGUUUUGUGUUAUGAAGAUAAGAAGGAGUUCAGGAUAUAACUCAGUUAUAUUUCCAAGAAGCCAUAAAAGCUUUCGAGACCUUUAAAGAUCCCUUUUAGGGGUUUCGAAAACUUGAAAUAUUGUCAAUUUAAAUUGAUGGCCUAAUACAAUGUAUAAAGUAAGUUUGCAGUGCGUGUGUCUUGGAGAUACAAUUGAGGGUGUUUUUGACAUAUUCAAGAAGGGUGUCAUAUAGUGUGUAUAAAGUCCAUGGUUAUAUGUUGCAAGGGUUCUAGUUUUUGCAUUAAGCUAGCAAUAGCAAACCCCCCUGCAUUCUGAAGAUAUAAUAAAUAUUAUUACAUGAGAAGAUCACUGAGAUCAUGAAGGCUUGUAUGAA